GUCAUAGGUGAGUGGUAGAACAGUGCACUGCAGGCCUACAGGUAGUUGGUUCAAACCCACU
rnacentral:tRNA from 1 species